rnacentral:rRNA from 1 species
GACGAACGCUGGCGGCGUGCCUAAUACAUGCAAGUAGAACGCUGAAGGAGGAGCUUGCUCUUCUGGAUGAGUUGCGAACGGGUGAGUAACGCGUAGGUAACCUGCCUGGUAGCGGGGGAUAACUAUUGGAAACGAUAGCUAAUACCGCAUAAGAGUAGAUGUUGCAUGACAUUUACUUAAAAGGUGCAAUUGCAUCACUACCAGAUGGACCUGCGUUGUAUUAGCUAGUUGGUGGGGUAACGGCUUACCAAGGCGACGAUACAUAGCCGACCUGAGAGGGUGGUCGGCCACACUGGGACUGAGACACGGCCCAGACUCCUACGGGAGGCAGCAGUAGGGAAUCUUCGGCAAUGGACGGAAGUCUGACCGAGCAACGCCGCGUGAGUGAAGAAGGUUUUCGGAUCGUAAAGCUCUGUUGUAAGAGAAGAAAGAGUGUGAGAGUGGAAAGUUCACACUGUGACGGUAUCUGACCAGAAAGGGACGGCUAACUACGUG